CGUAGGUGGCAAGCGUUGUCCGGAUUUACUGGGCGUAAAGAGCGCGCAGGCGGUCGAUUUAGUCGUGUGUGAAAGCCCCCGGCUCAACUGGGGAGGGUCACGCGAUACUGAUCGACUCGAAGGCAGGAGAGGGAAGUGGAAUUCCCGGUGUAGUGGUGAAAUGCGUAGAUAUCGGGAGGAACACCAGUGGCGAAGGCGACUUCCUGGCCUGUUCUUGACGCUGAGGCGCGAAAGCUAGGGGAGCAAACGGGAUUAGAUACCCCGGUAGUCCUAGCCGUAAACGAUGGACACUAGGUGUUGGUGGUAUCAACCCCGCCAGUGCCGAAGCUAACGCAUUAAGUGUCCCGCCUGGGGAGUACGGCCGCAAGGCUA
rnacentral:rRNA from 1 species